AUUCAGCUGCUAGAGAUGACGAGUGGCGGACGGGUGAGUAAUGCUUGGGAACAUGCCUUUGUGAGGGGGAUAACUAUUGGAAACGAUAGCUAAUACCGCAUAAUGUUUUCGGACCAAAGCGGGCUUUUGCUCGUGCACAAAGAGUGGCCCAAGUGAGAUUAGCUAGUUGGUGGGGUAAAGGCUCACCAAGGCGACGAUCUCUAGCUGUUCUGAGAGGAAGAUCAGCCACACUGGGACUGAGACACGGCCCAGACUCCUACGGGAGGCAGCAGUGGGGAAUAUUGCACAAUGGGGGGAACCCUGAUGCAGCCAUGCCGCGUGUGUGAAGAAGGCCUUCGGGUUGUAAAGCACUUUCAGACGUGAGGAAAGGUUGAUGGUUAAUAGCUGUCAGCUGUGACGUUAGCGUCAGAAGAAGCACCGGCUAACUCCGUGCCAGCAGCCGCGGUAAUACGGAGGGUGCGAGCGUUAAUCGGAAUUACUGGGCGUAAAGCGCACGCAGGCGGAUUGUUAAGCUAGAGGUGAAAGCCCCGCGCUCAACGUGGGAAUAGCCUUUAGAACUGGCAGUCUAGAGUCUUGGAGAGGGGGGUGGAAUUCCAGGUGUAGCGGUGAAAUGCGUAGAGAUCUGGAGGAACAUCAGUGGCGAAGGCGACUCCCUGGCCAAAGACUGACGCUCAUGUGCGAAAGUGUGGGUAGCGAACAGGAUUAGAUACCCUGGUAGUCCACACCGUAAACGCUGUCUACUAGCUGUGUGUGAAUUUAAUUUGUGCGUAGCGAAGCUAACGCGCUAAGUAGACCGCCUGGGGAGUACGGCCGCAAGGUUAAAACUCAAAUGAAUUGACGGGGGCCCGCACAAGCGGUGGAGCAUGUGGUUUAAUUCGAUGCAACGCGAAGAACCUUACCUACACUUGACAUGCAGAGAAGUUAGCAGAGAUGCUUUCGUGCCUUCGGGAACUCU
rnacentral:rRNA from 1 species